AGUCUUGCAUAUGUCUUUUUCUGCUACAGAUGGUACAAUGGUUGAUUUGGUACAAGGAUCAUACCAAAUAUGUAUGCAGGAAGCCAAAAAAUAGAAUCAAAUCAAACAUGAUUUUAUAGUUGUUAUUAUUCCUAAAAAUAUCUGUGCUCCUGUAGGCAUAUGUCUUAGAUAGGAGAAUGCUGUUGGAAUUUCUGGUCUCUGCAUUGAGGGGCUGUUGGUCUUUUGGAAAGAUGUGCUUAUUGAAUGGGACAAGCUUGCCCCAAGAGGCAUUGCUAGGGCUGCUCCCAGACCUACUUGUGAUUCAAGGCUGUGCUUCUCCUCUGCACGUGAGACAGACUGCUGUGAUUGCACCUGCCAUCUUAUGCAGAAAUGACCUGAAGACAGACUGAAACAACGUGUUCUACAGCCUGAAAAUAUCUACCUUGACUUACAGUUUUAUUAAUGCUGGUGUGAUCAGACUGGACAAAAAUUAGCAUAUGUUAUUAACUGAUCUAAUUCAAGUGCCAAUUCUUAAUAGAAACACAAAACAAUAAAAGCAAUUCAGAAAAUAUUUACUAUUUGAUUUCUUCAAGCUCCAAA
rnacentral:lncRNA from 1 species